rnacentral:rRNA from 1 species
GAUGAACGCUGGCGGCGUGCCUAAUACAUGCAAGUCGAGCGAACAGACGAGGAGCUUGCUCCUCUGACGUUAGCGGCGGACGGGUGAUUAACACGUGGAUAACCUACCUAUAAGACUGGGAUAACUUCGGGAAACCGGAGCUAAUACCGGAUAAUAUAUUGAACCGCAUGGUUCAAUAGUGAAAGACGGUUUUGCUGUCACUUAUAGAUGGAUCCCCGCCGCAUUAGCUAGUUGGUAAGGUAACGGCUUACCAAGGCAACGAUGCGUAGCCGACCUGAGAGGGUGAUCGGCCACACGGGAACUGAGACACGGUCCAGACUCCUACGGGAGGCAGCAGUAGGGAAUCUUCCGCAAUGGGCGAAAGCCUGACGGAGCAACGCCGCGUGAGUGAUGAAGGUCUUCGGAUCGUAAAACUCUGUUAUUAGGGAAGAACAAAUGUGUAAGUAACUAUGCACGUCUUGACGGUACCUAAUCAGAAAGCCACGGCUAACUACGUG